UACGAAGGGGGCUAGCGUUGCUCGGAAUCACUGGGCGUAAAGCGCACGUAGGCGGAUCUUUAAGUCAGAGGUGAAAUCCCGGAGCUCAACUCCGGAACUGCCUUUGAUACUGAGGACCUUGAGUCCGGGAGAGGUGAGUGGAACUGCGAGUGUAGAGGUGAAAUUCGUAGAUAUUCGCAAGAACACCAGUGGCGAAGGCGGCUCACUGGCCCGGUACUGACGCUGAGGUGCGAAAGCGUGGGGAGCGAACAGG
rnacentral:rRNA from 1 species